rnacentral:sRNA from 1 species
GCUGGGUACGGUGGUGCAUGCCUGUAAUCUCAGUGGCUUGGGAGCCUGAGACAGGAGGAUCAAAAGUUCAAAGCCAGCCCAGAAAAAAGUGAGGCACUUAGAAACUCAGUGAGACCCUGUCUCUA